rnacentral:rRNA from 1 species
GAUGAACGCUAGCGGCAGGCCUAACACAUGCAAGUCGAGGGGCAGCACAGAAACAGCAAUGUUUUGGUGGCGACCGGCGGACGGGUGCGUAACGCGUAUGCAACCUACCUUUAACAGGGGGAUAACGGAGAGAAAUUUCCACUAAUACCCCAUAACAUCGAUCAGGGCAUCUUGAUUGGUUGAAAACUCCGGUGGUUAAAGAUGGGCAUGCGUUGUAUUAGGUAGUUGGUGAGGAAAUGGCUCACCAAGCCUACGAUACAUAGGGGGACUGAGAGGUUAGCCCCCCACACUGGUACUGAGACACGGACCAGACUCCUACGGGAGGCAGCAGUGAGGAAUAUUGGUCAAUGGGGGCAACCCUGAACCAGCCAUGCCGAGUGCAGGAAGACGGCUCUAUGAGUUGUAAACUGCUUUUAAACAGGGAUAAAGCACAGUAUGUAUACUGUGUUGAAGGUACUGUAAGAAUAAGGAUCGGCUAACUCCGUGCCAGCCGCCGCCGUAA